rnacentral:rRNA from 2 species
GUGCGAGACCGAUAGCGAACAAGUACCGUGAGGGAAAGAUGAAAAGAACUUUGAAAAGAGAGUUAAAGAGUACCUGAAACUGCUGGAAGGGAAGCGAAUCGUAUCCAGUGUCUAUAAUCUGCGGCAUAUUUCAUUGGCGGCAGUGUGCGUGCUUUUGCGUCGGAAGCGGCUUUUGUUGCUCUGUGCUUUUGCUGUGCGUGCUGUUGCUGGUGCCCUGUGUUGCGGUGGGACGUCAGAGUCAGUUCGUAUGCUGCGGGAAAUGGCCGCCGAGGAGGUAGGUCAGGACUUCGGUCUUGGCUGUUAUAUCUUGGUGGUUUGUUGUCGUGGUUGGGACUGAGGUGCCUACAAUGUGCUUUUGAGUGUGCCGGGUUCUCAUUUGGUGGACUGUUUGGAUAGCUUGCUAUGCUUGUGGUUUUUUCAUCGAGUGAUUGAGUCUGGUGGUAACUUGUUGCUGUUCGGGACUUUGA